GGCACGGUGCGCCAACUAGGAAGAGCGACCAACCUCAAAACUUGGUGGGUGUGGGUUCGAGUCCCUCCCGUGCUA
rnacentral:tRNA from 1 species